ACAGGUCUGCCCACCCCCAAAGCCAUGCUUUUUCCUGCACAUGCCUGGAGGGGGUGGGGUGGGCAUCAUGUCGAGCCCUGAGUUUCCUGAGACCUCUUGUUUCAGGAGAGCCGGAUCUACGCUGUGGCCACAUGGGGCAUGCGGCUCUCAGAUGUGUCUCCCAGAAGUAAUACUGCGUGCUGCGCUUCAAGCCCUCCUGCCCUUGCUUCCCCUGGGUCUUUCUCUGGCCUGGUCUACAAGAAUGUCACUGUGCCUGUCUACACAGCACUGAAGGGGAGAGCCACGCAGAUCAGCAACAUGCCCUUUAUGGACGAGUCCUCUGGGUCUGAUGAUGACUGCAGCUCUCAGGCGAGUUUCCGAAUCUCGGUCCCCUCCUCUGAGUCCAGGAAGACCAGCGGACUAGGCAGCCCCCGGGCCAUCAAGAGAGGCGUCUCCAUGUCCUCACUGAGCUCGGAGGGUGACUACGCCAUCCCCCCGGACGCCUGCUCGCUGGACAGUGACUACUCAGAGCCUGAGCACAAACUGCAGCGCACCUCAUCCUACUCCACCGAUGGGCUGGGCCUGGGCGGGGAGUCACUGGAGAAGUCGGGCUACCUGCUGAAAAUGGGGAGCCGGGUGAAGACGUGGAAGAGGCGCUGGUUUGUCCUGAGACAGGGACAGAUUAUGUACUACAAGUCCCCGAGUGAUGUCAUCCGGAAACCUCAAGGCCAAGUGGAUCUGAACUCCUGCUGCCAAAUUGUUCGAGGGGAGGGUUCACAGACGUUUCAGCUCAUCUCUGAGAAGAAAACCUACUACCUGAUGGCCGAUUCACCCAGCCUGCUGGAGGAGUGGAUCCGAGUACUCCAGAGCCUGCUGAAGGUGCAGGCCACCGGGCCUCCAGCUCUGUCUCGGGGUGGCACCAAGCCCACCGUGAAGGGCUGGCUGACCAAGGUAAAGCAUGGCCACUCCAAGCUGGUCUGGUGCGCUCUUGUUGGGAAAACCUUCUACUACUAUCGGAGCCAUGAGGACAAGCGACCCCUGGGCUGCCUUCCUGUGCAGGAUGCACGCAUAGAGGAAGUAGAUCGAUCCUGUGACUCAGACGAGGACUAUGAGGCUGGUGGAACCAGACGGUUGCUUUCCUCCCACUGCACCCUGGUGAUCCACCCCACAGAGCACAGCCCCACCUACCUCCUCAUUGGCACCAAGCAUGAAAAGGAUACGUGGCUCUACCACCUCACAGUGGCUGCAGGUGGCAGCAGUGCCAGGGUGGGCACUGCCUAUGAGCAGCUCAUUGGAAAACUGAUGGAUGGUGAAGGAGACCCAGAUUCGCCGCUCUGGAGGCACCCCAUGCUGUGCUACAGCAAAGACGGCCUAUACGCCUCCCUCACCACCCUGCCCUCUGAGGCCUUGCAGACGGAGGCCCUCAAGCUCUUCAAGUCCUGCCAGCUCUUCAUCAACGUGCCGGUGGAAGCUGCCUCGGUGGACUACCAUGUGUCCCUGGCCCAGACUGCACUGCAGGUCUGCCUGGUUCACCCCGAGCUGCAGAGUGAGCUCUACUGCCAACUCAUGAAGCAGACCAGCUGCCGCCCACCUCAGAAGUACUCCCUCAUGCAGUGCUGGCAGCUCCUCGCUCUGUGUGCUCCACUUUUCCUGCCUCAGCAUCACUUCCUCUGGUAUGUCAAGCAGCAGCUCCAACGCCAUGCAGAUCCCAGAAGUGAAACUGGCCAGUAUGCCACCUACUGCCAGCGGGCAGUGGAGCGGACCCUGCGGACCGGGGAGCGGGAAGCCAGGCCAUCGCGCAUGGAAGUGGUGUCCAUCCUGCUGCGUAACCCCUUCCACCACUCUUUGCCCUUCAGCAUCCCCGUACACUUUACCAACGGGACUUACCAGGUGGUUGGUUUUGACGGCUCCUCCACGGUUGAUGAGUUCCUCCAGCGGCUGAACCAGGAGAUAGGCAUGAGAAAGCCAUCCCACUCUGGCUUUGCCCUCUUCACGGACGAUCCCUCGGGCAGGGACCUGGAGCACUGCCUGCAGGGAAGUGUCAAGAUCUGCGAUGCCAUCUCCAAGUGGGAACAAGCCAUGAAGGAGCUGCACCCCGGAAAGUCUGAGGGUGGGACACGCGUCGUGAAGCUGAUGUACAAGAACAGGCUGUACUUUCGCAGUCAAGUCAAAGGGGAGACGGACCGAGAACGGCUGCUCCUUGCCUCUCAAACUAGUAGAGAGAUAGUGGCAGGGAGGUUUCCUGUCAACAAGGAAUUGGCUCUUGAGAUGGCUGCCCUGAUGGCCCAGGUAGAAUAUGGGGACUUGGAGAAGCCUGCCCUGCCAGGCCCUGGAGGCACAUCCCCUGCCAAGGCUCAGCAUCUGCUCCAGCAGGUCCUAGACAGGUUCUACCCCAGGCGCUACAGACAUGGGGCCCCCCCUGAACAGCUGAGGCACCUGGCAGAUAUGUUGACCACAAAAUGGGCAACAUUGCAAGGAUGCUCCCCUCCUGAGUGCAUCCGCAUCUACCUGACCGUGGCCAGGAAAUGGCCUUUCUUUGGUGCUAAACUUUUUGCUGCUCAGCCUGCCCAGCUGUCUUCCAAGGAGAACGCUCUGGUGUGGAUUGCUGUGAAUGAGGAUGGUGUCAGCAUCCUGGACCACAACACUAUGCAAGUGCACGUCACUUACCCCUACUCUUCAGUGACAACCUUUGGUGGCUGCAGGGAUGAUUUCAUGCUUGUGAUUAGAUCUAUCCCAGACAAGAGCUCUGGAAAAAGCCACAUUGAGAAGUUGAUCUUCCAGAUGGCUGCUCCCAAGAUUGCAGAAGCUACCUUCAUCAUGGCCAGCUAUAUGAACCAUUGCACUACAACUGUGAACCCACCCACCAACCCACCCGGAGCCUGCCAACUGUGGGAACUGGAUGGACGACAGUUCUUUUCUUCUGUUUCCUGUGCUACCAAGGGGCCAACGUUGCUGUGAAUAUUUCUCCUACCCAAUUCCCCACCACCACUAGUGCCUCUGGAAUUAGAGACAUAUAUCCUAGGGUAUGAUACUACUGUGAUGGGUCUAACAGCCCCCGGCUACUCUUGUUGUGUGAAAUGUGUAUUUUAGCCUCUGUGAAGCCUUUACUCUCUAGGUGCCUUAUGUUUCAGGGCUCAACUUUUUAAAAUCCAGACCCAGUGUUAAAACCACUUAUUCCUUUUUUCACAAGAAUAAUGACUCCAAAUGCUACCUGAUUCUAGACAUAGACAGGGAUGAUCCACUGUUACUGAGGGCAUCAGUGCUAUAAGUUAAGGCUUUCUGCACUGGUACUCUCAAGGAAGCUAAUUUUCUUUCUGGGUCUGCGGGGGACACAGUCUCACUAUGUCACCCAGGCUGGAGUGCACAGGGUUCAAGCAAUUCUCCUGCCUCAGCCUUCCGAGUAGCUG
rnacentral:sRNA from 1 species